rnacentral:rRNA from 1 species
GUGGGGAAUUUUGGACAAUGGGCGCAAGCCUGAUCCAGCAAUGCCGCGUGCAGGAAGAAGGCCUUCGGGUUGUAAACUGCUUUUGUACGGAACGAAACGGUCCGGGUUAAUACCCUGGGCUAAUGACGGUACCGUAAGAAUAAGCACCGGCUAACUACGUGCCAGCAGCCGCGGUAAUACGUAGGGUGCAAGCGUUAAUCGGAAUUACUGGGCGUAAAGCGUGCGCAGGCGGUUUUGUAAGACAGGCGUGACAUCCCCGGGCUCAACCUGGGAAUUGCGCUUGUGACUGCAUGGGUGGAGUGCGGCAGAGGGGGAUGGAAUUCCGCGUGUAGCAGUGAAAUGCGUAGAUAUGCGGAGGAACACCGAUGGCGAAGGCAAUCCCCUGGGCCUGCACUGACGCUCAUGCACGAAAGCGUGGGGAGCAAACAGGAUUAGAAACCCGGGUAGUCC